GACGAACGCUGGCGGCGUGCCUAAUACAUGCAAGUCGACCUUAGGGGCGAACGGGUGAGUAACACGUGGGUAACCUGCCCAUCAGAAGGGGAAAACACUUGGAAAAAGGUGCUAAUACCGUAUACUGAUGGAUGGAUCCGCGGUGGAUUAGCGAGUUGGUGAGGUAACGGCUAACCAAGGCCACGAUGCAUAGCCGCCUGUGGAGGGGGACCGGCCACAUUGGGACUGAUACAGGGCCCAAACUCCUACGGGAGGAAGCAGUAGGGAAUCUUCGGAAAUGGACGAAAGUCUGACCGAGCAACGCCGCGUGAGUGAAGAAGGUUUUCGGAUCGUAAAACUCUGUUGUUAGAGAAGCGGUAUCUAACCAGAAAGCCACGGCUAACUACGUGCCAGCCGCCGCGGUAAUAC
rnacentral:rRNA from 1 species